UGGGCUCUGAGAUCUGGGCCUGCAGCUCUAGACCGAGCGACUGCAACAUGGUCUCCAGGGCUCAGCUCCUCUGUCUCCUGCUGCUCUGGGCCCAUGAAUCCAAAGGGGCCACGGUGGUGACUCAGUCUCCAGAAUUCUUGACGGAGUCUCCAGGAGGCAGCGUCACCAUCAACUGCAAAAUUAGUACUAGUACUUCCUAUGUUGCCUGGUACCAACAGAAACCCGGACAAACUCCAAAGCUCCUUAUCUACAAGGUUUCCAACCGUCCCUCUGGGGUCCCUGACCGGUUCAGCGGCAGCGGGUCUGGGACUGACUUCACUUUCACCAUCAACAGAGUGGAAGCCGAUGAUGCUGCAGAUUAUUACUGUCAGUACCAUGGUAGUACCCCUCCCACAGUGUUCCAGCCCCAUACAAAAACCUCUCAGGGUCACUUGAUUUCCAGUGGUGCAGCAGCUUCUUGCUCAGACAAUGCAGCUGCUGUGUUUUAA